CAGGUGAGAGGUGGAGAGACAGGAACUCAGGUGAGAGGUGGAGAGACAGGAACUCAGGUGAGAGGUGGAGAGACAGGAACUCAGGUGAGAGUGGAACAGACAGGAACCAGGUGAGAUGUGGAGAGACAGGAACUCAGGUGAGAGAUGGAAACAGACAGGAACUCAGGUGAGAGGUGGAGAGACAGGAAUUCAGGUGAGAGGUGGAGAGACAGGAACUCAGGUGAGAUGUGGAGAGACAGGAACUCAGGUGAGAGGUGGAGAGACAGGAACUCAGGUGAGAGGUGGAAACAGACAGGAACUCAGGUGAGAUGUGGAGAGACAGGAACUCAGGUGAGAGAUGGAAACAGACAGGAACUCAGGUGAGAGGUGGAGAGACAGGAAUUCAGGUGAGAGGUGGAGAGACAGGAACUCAGGUGAGAGGUGGAGAGACAGGAACUCAGGUGAGAGGUGGAGAGACAGGAACUCAGGUGAGAGGUGGAGACACAGGAACUCAGGUGAGAGGUGGAAACAGACAGGAACUCAGGUGAGAGGUGGAGAGACAGGAACUCAGGUGAGAUGUGGAGAGACAGGAACUCAGGUGAGAGAUGGAAACAGACAGGAACUCAGGUGAGAUGUGGAGAGACAGGAACUCAGGUGAGAGGUGGAAACAGACAGGAACUCAGGUGAGAGGUGGAGAGACAGGAACUCAGGUGAGAUAUGGAAACAG
rnacentral:lncRNA from 1 species